AUCCAGCUGAUGAGUCCCAAAUAGGACGAAACGCGCGUCCAACUGGAU
rnacentral:hammerhead_ribozyme from 1 species